GACGAACGCUGGUUGCGUGCUUAACACAUGCAAGUCGAACGGAAAGGCCCUGCUUUUGUGGGGUGCUCGAGUGGCGAACGGGUGAGUAACACGUGAGUAACCUGCCCUUGACUUUGGGAUAACUUCAGGAAACUGGGGCUAAUACCGGAUAGGAGCUCCUGCUGCAUGGUGGGGGUUGGAAAGUUUCGGCGGUUGGGGAUGGACUCGCGGCUUAUCAGCUUGUUGGUGGGGUAGUGGCUUACCAAGGCUUUGACGGGUAGCCGGCCUGAGAGGGUGACCGGCCACAUUGGGACUGAGAUACGGCCCAGACUCCUACGGGAGGCAGCAGUGGGGAAUAUUGCACAAUGGGCGGAAACCUGAUGCAGCAACGCCGCGUGCGGGAUGACGGCCUUCGGGUUGUAAACCGCUUUCGCCUGUGACGAAGCGUGAGUGACGGUAAUGGGUAAAGAAGCACCGGCUAACUACGUGCCAGCAGCCGCGGUGAUACGUAGGGUGCGAGCGUUGUCCGGAUUUAUUGGGCGUAAAGGGCUCGUAGGUGGUUGAUCGCGUCGGAAGUGUAAUCUUGGGGCUUAACCCUGAGCGUGCUUUCGAUACGGGUUGACUUGAGGAAGGUAGGGGAGAAUGGAAUUCCUGGUGGAGCGGUGGAAUGCGCAGAUAUCAGGAGGAACACCAGUGGCGAAGGCGGUUCUCUGGGCCUUUCCUGACGCUGAGGAGCGAAAGCGUGGGGAGCGAACAGGCUUAGAUACCCUGGUAGUCCACGCUGUAAACGGUGGGUACUAGGUGUGGGGUCCAUUCCACGGGUUCCGUGCCGUAGCUAACGCUUUAAGUACCCCGCCUGGGGAGUACGGCCGCAAGGCUAAAACUCAAAGGAAUUGACGGGGCCCCGCACAAGCGGCGGAGCAUGCGGAUUAAUUCGAUGCAACGGGUAGAGCCUUACCUGGGUUUGACAUGGAUCGGGAGUGCUCAGAGAUGGGUGUGCCUCUUUUGGGGUCGGUUCACAGGUGGUGCAUGGCUGUCGUCAGCUCGUGUCGUGAGAUGUUGGGUUAAGUCCCGCAACGAGCGCAACCCUUGUUCACUGUUGCCAGCACGUUAUGGUGGGGACUCAGUGGAGACCGCCGGGGUCAACUCGGAGGAAGGUGGGGAUGACGUCAAGUCAUCAUGCCCCUUAUGUCCAGGGCUUCACGCAUGCUACAAUGGCUGGUACAGAGAGUGGCGAGCCUGUGAGGGUGAGCGAAUCUCGGAAAGCCGGUCUCAGUUCGGAUUGGGGUCUGCAACUCGACCUCAUGAAGUCGGAGUCGCUAGUAAUCGCAGAUCAGCAACGCUGCGGUGAAUACGUUCCCGGG
rnacentral:rRNA from 1 species